rnacentral:rRNA from 1 species
UACGGGGGGGGCUAGCGUUGUUCGGAUUUACUGGGCGUAAAGGGCGCGUAGGCGGCUUAGUAAGUUGAAAGUGAAAUCCCAGGGCUUAACCCUGGAAUUGCUUUCAAAACUGCUUUGCUAGAGAGUGGUAGAGGAUGGUAGAAUUCCUAGUGUAGAGGUGAAAUUCUUAGAUAUUAGGAGGAAUACCGGUGGCGAAGGCGACCAUCUGGGCCAUUUCUGACGCUGAGGCGCGAAAGCGUGGGGAGCAAACAGG